AAGCUCGUAGUUGAAUUUCGGGGUUAGUAGGUUGGUCAUGCCUCUGGUAUGUACUGGUCUCACUGAUUCCUCCUUCCUUAUGAACCGUAAUGCCAUUAAUUUGGUGUUGCGGGGAAUUUGGACUGUUACUUUGAAAAAAUUAGAGUGUUUAAAGCAAGCUAACGCUUGGAUACAUUAGCAUGGAAUAAUGAAAUAGGACGUUCGAUCUUAUUUUGUUGGUUUCUAGGAUUGACGUAAUGAUUAAUAGGGAUAGUUGGG
rnacentral:rRNA from 1 species